rnacentral:rRNA from 1 species
CAGCAGCCGCGGUAAUACGUAGGGUCCAAGCGCUGUCCGGAAUUAUUGGGCGUAAAGGGCUCGUAGGCGGCCUGUCGCGUCUGGUGUGAAAGCCCGUGGCUUAACUGCGGGUCUGCGCUGGAUACGGGCGGGCUAGAGUGCGGUAGGGGAGAAUGGAAUUCCCGGUGUAACGGCGGAAUGUGUAGAUAUCGGGAAGAACACCAAUGGCGAAGGCAGUUCUCUGGGCCGUGACUGACGCUGAGGAGCGAAAGCGUGGGGAGCGAACAGGAUUAGAUACCCUGGUAGUCCACGCUGUAAACGGUGGACGCUGGAUGUGGGGCCCAUUCCACGGGUUCCGUGUCGGAGCUAACGCGUUAAGCGUCCCGCCUGGGGAGUACGGCCGCAAGGCUAAAACUCAAAGAAAUUGACGGGGGCCCGCACAAGCGGCGGAGCAUGCGGUUUAAUUCGAUGCAACGCGAAGAACCUUACCUGGGCUUGACAUGUGGACGAUGACUGCAGAGAUGUGGUUUCCCUUCGGGGCGUCCUCACAGGUGGUGCAUGGCC